GAUGAAGAACGCAGUGAAAUGCGAUACUUGGUGUGAAUUGCAGAAUCCCGUGAACCAUCGAGUCUUUGAACGCAAGUUGCGCCCGAAGCCAUCAGGUUGAGGGCACGUCUGCCUGGGCGUCAUAUAUCGUUGCCCAAUGCCUAUUGCAGUGCAAUAGGAAUUUCUAGGGCGAAUGAUGGCUUCCCGUGAGCGUUGUUGCCUCGCGGUUGGUUGAAAAUCGAGUCCUUGGUAGGGUGUGCCAUGGUAGAUGGUGGUCGAGUUAGAACGAUACCGAUCAUGUGCAUGCUCCCCAAAAUAUGGCCUCUAUGACCCACACGCGUCUUUUGACGCUCAUGACGAGACCUCAGGUCAGGCGGGGCUACCCGCUGAAUUUAAGCAUAUCAAUAAGCGGAGGA
rnacentral:misc_RNA from 1 species